rnacentral:rRNA from 1 species
UACGUAGGGGGCAAGCGUUGUCCGGAAUCAUUGGGCGUAAAGCGCGCGUAGGCGGCCAGACAAGUCCGGUGUGAAAGUCACAGGCUCAACCUGUGAAUGCCGCUGGAAACUGUCUGGCUAGAGUCCGGAAGGGGCGAGUGGAACUCCUGGUGUAGCGGUGGAAUGCGCAGAUAUCAGGAAGAACACCAACGGCGAAGGCAGCUCGCUGGGACGGUACUGACGCUGAGACGCGAAAGCGUGGGGAGCGAACAGG